CAGUCGCCGCGGGAAAACGAAGGGGGCUAGCGUUGUUCGGAUUUACUGGGCGUAAAGCGCACGUAGGCGGAUCGAUCAGUCAGGGGUGAAAUCCCAGAGCUCAACUCUGGAACUGCCUUUGAUACUGUCGAUCUGGAGUAUGGAAGAGGUGAGUGGAAUUCCGAGUGUAGAGGUGAAAUUCGUAGAUAUUCGGAGGAACACCAGUGGCGAAGGCGGCUCACUGGUCCAUUACUGACGCUGAGGUGCGAAAGCGUGGGGAGCAAACAGGAUUAGAUACCCCGGUAGUCCCUGUCUCUUAUAC
rnacentral:rRNA from 1 species